GUUUCGUGUUCCUUUUUUAGAGUCUGUUGCUAGUUCUGCUAACUGCAAGAUUGCAACAGAGGCUCUACCCUCCUGAUAAUGCUCCCAUCCCUUUACUUUAUCCUAGGAACUGGAUCUGUCAUCUUCUGCAGUUAGAACUCUAUACAGUGCUUGGCACAAGAGAAAACAGUCAAGAACUAUCUUCUGACCUGACUUGUACAGUGCUAGGUUUUUAGGGGAAGUGUUUUGUGAUAAAGAAUUUUAAAAGAUUCAACAGAAGGUUAAAAUGGGGGCUCUUCCUGACUUAACUCGAAUGACAUUUUCACAAAAUUAACAUCAGAUAGUGAAGCAUGUGUGAAAGAGUUUACCAUAAACAGAUUUUAUAAAGGAAAUAGAUGCCUGGUGUUUUUUAAGAACAGAACAGAGUCCUCAGGGGAAAGCGCUCAAAGUUCCUGUUGUCACCUCUGCUCUCAGGCUCUGCAGUAGCACACUCUACAAUAUUCCUUAAAUCCUGUGCUACUGAUGUCAAGGACCUUGUCUUUUUUCUCAGCAUUUUGUACAAAACACAAUUCUUAUCUGACUCUCCCACCCUAUCAUGUUUGGGGAGCAAAGCUUAUUCUCUGAUGAUCUCAGUCAUGGCUUCCUGUGCCUUCUGAAAGAAACUUGCCCUCAGAAGUACACAUUCUAUGGAUGAAUAGUAUGCCUCUGAUAUUUUCUUUAAAUGGUGGUCUGUGUUAAAAAUGUCGUCAGUAGGAUUACUUUCAGAUAGAUCAAAGCGAAGGCCGAGAGGAGGUCCUCAUUUCAGAUCUUCAGAAGUCACCUGGAUGCGAGUCAGAAAAUGAGUCGCCAGGUUAGACAAAACCAAUGGAAGAAAUGGAUAGAGCUGGAAAAAACUUCCUAGAUGGUGAAAUCAGAUGAAGACUCAUGAGCUGGAUU